AACGGACGCUAUACGCNAUAAUAUUUUGAACCGCAUGGUUCAAAAGUGAAAGACGGUCUUGCUGUCACUUAUAGAUGGAUCCGCGCUGCAUUAGCUAGUUGGUAAGGUAACGGCUUACCAAGGCAACGAUGCAUAGCCGACCUGAGAGGGUGAUCGGCCACACUGGAACUGAGACACGGUCCAGACUCCUACGGGAGGCAGCAGCG
rnacentral:rRNA from 1 species